AUGGAUUGCAAACUUAAAUGUAUCUUCUGGAAUGUCCGAGACCUUACCUCGAGGGCGAAACGUUGUGCCGUUCAAUUGGUCAUCUCUGUUGUGUCCCCCAGCAUUGUAUGCCUCCAAGAAACCAAGUUGGAGGUUGUCACGCUCCCCAUCGUCAUCGAGACUCUGGGUCCCAACCUUGCAGAUUUCUACUUCCUCCCCGCGAUCGGUACUUGCGGUGGCAUCCUUCUUGCUUGGCGGCGCAAUGAGAUUUCCAUCUCUAGCCCGUACGUUGGCCAACACCACAUCACGGCUCUCGUUUCUUCCCUCUCCGGCUCCAACCCGUGGUGGAUCACCGGUGUCUAUGGACUGCAAAACGAUGACGGGAAGCUUCUUUUCUUGGCGGACCUUCAAGAGACCCGCGACACUUGCGCCGGCCCCUGGCUAUUGGGGGGCGACUUCAACUUGGUUACCUCGGCCGAACACAAGAGUAAUGGUCGGAUUAACUGGCAUACUUCCAGUCGUUUCCAUCGCUUCAUUGCCGACAUGGAGCUUCGCGACAUUUAUAUGCACGACCGUCGCUACACUUGGUCCAACGAGCGUGACUCUUCGACUCUGGUCCGCAACGAUCGGCUCCUAUGCACCACCGAUUGGGAGUCCACCCAGCAGCAUUGCCUUCUCCGGUGCCUUGCCACCACAGUCUCUGAUCACUGCCCCCUGUUCCUGGAUUGCUUGCCGCACAACACCGACCCGAAGCGGUUCCAUUUUGAACGCUUCUGGGUCAAGCUUGAGGGAUUCUAG
rnacentral:rRNA from 1 species